rnacentral:tRNA from 1 species
GGUGGGAUCGCAUAGUGGACUAGUGCGCACGCUUGGAAAGCGUGUGUGUUCGAAAGAGCACCCAGAGUUCGAAUCUCUGUCCCACCG